CCCUUAGAUGUUCUGGGCCGCACGCGCGCUACACUGACUGACUCAACGAGUUUACAACCUGUGCCGAAAGGUAUGGGUAAUCUUUUGAAAUUCAGUCGUGAUGGGGCUAGAUUAUUGCAACUAUUAAUCUUCAACGAGGAAUGCCUAGUAAGCGCGAAUCAUCAGUUCGCGUUGAUUACGUCCCUGCCCUUUGUACACACCGCCCGUCGCUACUACCGAUUGAAUGAUUUAGUGAGGACUUCGGACUGGGACCGAUGCGGCUUUCGGGCUGCGUCGGUAUUCUGGAAAGAUGUCCAAACUGUAUCAUUUAGAGGAAGUAAAAGUCGUAACA
rnacentral:rRNA from 1 species